GGAAGUAAAAGUCGUAACAAGGUCUCCGUUGGUGAACCAGCGGAGGGAUCAUUACCGAGUACUAUAACUCAUAACCCUUUGUGAACCUUCAUACCUGUUGCUUCGGCGGCGCGCCUCCCGGGGCGUGCCCGCCGGCAUUAUCAGAAUCUCUGUUCGAACCCGACGAUACUUCUGAGUGUUCUAAGCGAACUGUUAAAACUUUCAACAACGGAUCUCUUGGCUCCAGCAUCGAUGAAGAACGCAGCGAAACGCGAUAUGUAAUGUGAAUUGCAGAAUUCAGUGAAUCAUCGAAUCUUUGAACGCACAUGGCGCCUUCCAGUAUCCUGGGAGGCAUGCCUGUCCGAGCGUCGUUUCAACCCUCGAGCCCCCGUGGCCCGGCGUUGGGGACCUGCCCAGGCAGUCCCCGAGAACCAGUGGCGGACCCGACGGGCCCUUCCUUUGCGUAGUAACAUCUGCCUCGCAUCGGGAGCCCCCGGGCUAUCCGGCCUCUAAACCCCCCUCAAGCCCGCUCCGGCGGCACCAAGGUUGACCUCGGAUCAGGUAGGAAUACCCGCUGAACUUAAGCAUAUCAAUAAGCGGAGGAAAGGC
rnacentral:rRNA from 1 species